UCAAUCCCUCCACCACACACAUCUACCCACAGCCGCCGCCUCCACAGCCAAUCCAUCCAACCUCUUCUUCCUCCUCCCGCUGCUCGCCCCCCUUCAUUCCUCCAAACCCUAGCGCAAACCCUAAUGUCCACCACCGCACACCCUCCUGCCUCCCUCUCAGGGGACUCCUCGCCGACUACCUCCGGCUCAUUCUCCCCCUCCUCCUCCGCCGCCGUCGCUGGCUCCGAUGAGCCCGCGCUUCUCGGGCAAGCCACCUCGACUUCCACCCCCUCUGCUGCCGGGGAUGACGCCACCGUACCCUCCUCGCCCCAAAUGGGCAUGUACUUCGAGACGGAGGACGACGCCUACGAGUUCUACAAGGCAUACGCCGCCCGCCUUGGCUUCGUCGUCCGCAAGUCCAACAAGUCCAAGAACUCCCGGCACACCGUCACCCGCCGUCUCUUCGUCUGCUCCAAGCAAGGUUUCCGCCAAGAACCCAAGAAGCCUCAAGAUGAGACCAACGCCACCGACGUCACCGUUGCUGCACCGCCACCGCCUCCUAGGUGCCCGGACUCACGCACCGGCUGCCUGGCGUCCCUCACCAUCAAGCUACUCCCUUCGGCCAAUGCCUUCCGUGUCACUGAGUUUGUAGCCCAGCACAACCACCCGCUCGCCUCUGCAGUGUCCGCGGUGUCACUGGCAAUGAUUCCGUCAAGUUCUUCGCAUCACACCAUUGCCGCUGCGGCAAGCUUGCCGGACCCAAGGGACGGGCCACGCCCAGAGAUGCACUUCGAGACGGAAGAUGACGCCUAUGCCUUCUACAACCGGUACGCCGAGCAUGUGGGUUUCAGCGUCCGCCGCUCAUACAAGAAGCGCAAGCAUGGGGUGAUCGUGUCUCGUAUCUUUGUUUGUUCCCGUGAGGGCGUCAGUGACCGUGCCAAGCAUGAUGGCCUAGCCAGUAUCAGCGCCAAUGCUGGUGGAGGGGCACCAGGCACACCUAGGCCAGGCCCACCACCAACACGAACAGGUUGCCAGGCAAGAAUGGUGAUCAAGAUCACCCCAUGCCGAACAUACCGGGUUGCUAAAUUUAUUUCGGAGCAUAAUCACCCACUCGCUAACUCAGAGACCGUGCACAAGCUGCGGUCCCAUAAGAUGAGGGCUCGAGGGCACGAGCUUGGCCCAGGGGAACUGCAUCGAAGGAAGCAGGGAAAGGGUGUGCAGCUUGGGGAUGCUGGUGCUGCAUUGGAAUACUUGGAAGGGUUGCAGGUGGGAAACCCUUCACUGUAUUAUGCAGUAGGAAUGGCACCUGAUGGGAAUUCAGCUGUAAAUUUCUUCUGGGCUGAUGCAAAGUCAAUCAUCGACUUCAGAAGCUUUGGUGAUGUCGUUUGCUUUGAUACAACAUAUGGGCUGAAUGUGUAUGGGCGACCAUUUGCAUUGUUUGUUGGUGUGGACAACCACAAGCAGUUACUCGUGUUUGGUGCAGCCUUGCUCUAUGAUGAUGGCAUCCAGUCACUGAAAUGGGUAUUUCAGGCGUUUGCUGAUGCCAUGCGUGAUAGGCAGCCAAAGACUAUUCUGAUUGAUGAGCGUUCUGAAUGUUCCAUUGCAGCAGCAGAGGUCUGGCCUGGGAGUAACCAUUGCACAAGCGUGUGGCAUAUAUACCACAGUUCAAAGAGGCACUUGAAGCAGGUGUUCGAAAGCUCGAAAAGUUUUGGCAAUGCUUUGAGCCAGUGUCUCUUUGACUGUGAGGAUAAGAUGGAGUUCUUGUCUGCAUGGGAAAAGCUAAUUGAGAAACAUGACAUUGGUGAGAGUGAAUGGCUCAGCAGACUAUUUCUAGAGAAAGAAAAAUGGGCUCUGCCUUAUAGGAGAACUGUGUUUUCUGCUGAUAUUCUCAGUACUCUUAGAAAGGAUAGUAUGAUUAAUGAGCUAAAACGGGAGCUCAGUGAGCAAGAAGAUAUUCUGCUGUUCUUCAAGCGUUAUGAGACCAUACUGGAAGAGCAUCGCUCAAAGAAAUUGCAGGCUGAUGUUGAUGGAAAUCAGGUGACUUUGCCAAUCCCGUCCUUGCGAAUGUUAAAACAAUCUUCAAAUGCAUAUACACCUGAAGCUUUCAAGAUGUUCCAGGGUGAGUUUGAGGCUUACAUGAACUGCAUGUCCUUCCCCUGCAGUGCGGUUGGGACAGUGUCAGAGUACAAAAUAACACUUGAUGAGAAGCCAUUAGAGGCCAUUGUGAAAUUUGAUGCACUAGAUGGCUUGGGCACUUGCAGCUGCAGGAAGUUUGAAUCUGUUGGAAUCCAGUGUUGUCAUGUACUAAAGGUACUUGAUCUCAAGAAUAUCAAGGAGCUCCCAGAACAAUACAUUUUGAAGAGAUGGAGGAAAGAUGCCCGCUCUGUUAGAAUGGGAGAAGAACCUAACUGUGGAUCUAGCAGUAUCAUGCGGUCAUCUUUGGAUGUUCGCUUCUCUAACAUGUGCCGUAUGGUUAGCCUUAUAGCUUCAAGGGCCGCCAAAUCUGAGGAGGCAAUGUCAUACAUUGAGAGUCAAUCAAGCGUUCUUCUGAAGCAUCUGGAUGAAAUUCUACAGACAGGCUAUCCUGAGAAUGGAAACCAUGAUGUUGCUUCAAGUAGUCAAGCAAUUUCUUUUGUAGGAAAUCAUCCUGACCAUACAACACAAGCAAGAGCAGUUGCACAUACAGCGAAUGUCAUGUGAGGACUUCCAUGAUACACCAACAUGGGGAGAAGACCACCACAACCGGCGGACAGGCUAGGGGCAGUGAGGCUAAGGGCUGGCGUCCUGGCUAUGCCCUGCCCAUUAUGUUAGGAGAUACGAGAUUGUGUUAAUUUAAGGACUGACAUCCUUGUUGGGAAUUUCUGCUUAUCCUGAAUCCAGUGGACAAUUGAAAGGUUCAGUCGGUUCCUUGUAGUUUAGCCAAAUCUAUGUUGAAGUAUGGCUAUGUACAGUACUUAUAUGUUGCCAUGUUGAUGUAAGCAAGUAUAUCCUGAAGACCUUGCUGUUUCCAAUUUGGUAAGACUGGUGCUAAUUAUAAUCAAUUAUUAUAAGAGUAUGAUUUUUUUGACUUCAUUGCAUUUAUUCCAUGAAAUGUGAUGAUUGGUUGAUCAAUGAUCUCUAUCUAAUAAACAAGGACUGGUGUCUUUUGAAGACAGUUGGAGAAGAGCUGCUAAAUUACUCGUGCUAUAUUUAUUCUCCCAUGUGCAAUUUAAAAAUGCACACAGACUAGACAGCUGCACUUGCAUGCCAGAAUCAUUUAUGUCCCCUGCUGUCCAGUUCUGCGGUACUCCCUCCGUUCCACAAUGUAGUGCGCCCGCGCUUCCCGAGGUCUAAGUUUGACCAUAAAUUUAACCAACGAGACCGACUGCGGCGGGAGCAAAAAUCAUACCACUGAAUUCGUAUUUUUGCUCCCACUGCAGUUGGUCUCGUUGGUUAAAUUUAUGGUCAAACUUAGAUCUCGGAAAGCGUGAGCGCUCUACAUUGUGGAAUGGAGGGAGUAUUAUGUUUGUCAGAACUAGCCAUUUCUGGUCACCACUGCGGGAAGCUCUGCUGCUAAACAGCAUCCUUAUGGACAGGGGGCCAGUUGGCAUGUCUGGUUCACAGUCUGCAUCCAGCCAUCAACAGAAUUGGGGUAAUAUGCCGCUUCUGACACGGUGAAGUUUGUGUCUACAAACACCAUGGAGAGGAAAGGCAGCUGAAAAAACAUAGAUGUGAGAUGACAAUGAAGUGGAAGAGCCAUUUGUGGUAUGGGGAUGCAGCAACAAGUUUUGGAAAUGGUGCAUGCAAGAGGAAGAUGGAACCAUGUAUAUUUAUAGCCGCUGUGGGUUUCUCAUGAGUCAAGAUUUGGAAACCUUUGCCCUUCGGUUUUGAAUGGCUGAGACAUGGGAUUGGAGACAUUUUUCUCUCUGGUGUAUGUGUACCUGCAACUUCUUGUUCAUCCUAUGCUGCAUAAGCUAUAGUUCAUGUAAAAGAGUAUUUUGGCCUUUUGCACCUCUUUGUACUAUAUACUUAUCCGGCCUGUUUGAAGAUAUUGUUCUGUGGACUGGUGGAUUGGCAUGUCUGAUGACUCUUUCCCAAAUAGAAAGGCCAUGGCCUCGCUCACAAUGCUCGCAUCGUGGACAAUAUGGAAUGAAAGGAACG